rnacentral:rRNA from 1 species
ACGUGGACUGGGCGAAGCCUGCUCCGCCCUUCCGCGCUGAGUGAAGAAGGCCUUCGGGCCGUAAAGUGCCCUUGUACGGGAAGAAACGAUGCGCCCUAAUAAACUGUGGCUAAUGACGGUACCUUGAUAAAUAAGCACCGGCUAACUACGUGCCAGCAGCCGCGGUAAUACGUAGGGUGCAAGCGUUAAUCGGAAUUACUGGGCGUAAAGCGUGCGCAGGCGGUUAUGUAAGUCAGAUGUGAAAUCCCCGAGCUCAACUUGGGAAUUGCGUUUGAGACUGCAUAACUAGAAUAUGUCAGAGGGGGGUGGAAUUCCCCGUGUAGCAGUGAAACGCGUAGAUAUGUGGAGGAAUACCAAUGGCGAGGCAACCCCCUGGGAUAAGAUUGACGCUCAUGCACGAAAG